rnacentral:tRNA from 1 species
GCCUGGUUGGCUCAGUCAGUGGAGCAUAGGACUCUUGAUCUUGGGUUUGUGAGUUCAAGCCCCACAUUAAGUG